rnacentral:rRNA from 1 species
AUUCCCCUAGUAACGGCGAGUGAAGCGGGAAGAGCUCACCAUGUGAAUCUCUAUAACCAGCAAUGGUAUAGCGAAUUGUGGUCUGGAGAAGUAUUGUCGGCCGUGAAUCCGGGCCAAGUCUCUUGGAAAAGGGCAGCUGAGAGGGUGAAACUCCCGUUCUUGCCUGGAAUCAUUGCGCUCUGGCACAUGCUUUCUACGAGUCGAGUUGUUUGGGAUUACAGCUCAAAGUAUGUCGUAACUUCGAUAUAAAGCUAAAUAUUGGUGGGACACCGAUAGUGUACAAGUACCGUGAGGGAAAGAUGCAAAGAACUUUGAAAAGAGAGUUAAAGAGUACCUGAAAUUGUUAAAAGGGAAGCGAAGGAAACCAGUGUUUGGCGAAUCCAUUCUUCCCAAGCUACUUGUAGUUUGGGCGCUGUGGUUAGCAAUAGUCAGCAUUGGCUUAAUCUGGGUCAAACGUUUGGUGGGUAGGCGGCUCUUCGGAGUUAGUGCCCAUCUUUCAUGUUCUGGAUUGGGCUGAGGUCAGUCACUCUGUGCUCGUGAUGCUGGCAAAAUGG